CACGUAGGCGGCUCGGCAAAUCAGUCGUGGAAUCCCGUCGCUUACCGGCGGAACGGCGGCUGAAAAUACCGGGCUAGAGGGCGUGAGGGGUCGCUGGAACUCCUGGUGAAGCGGUGAAAUGCGUAGAUAUCAGGAGGAACGCCGGAGGCGAAAGCGAGCGACUGGCGCGCUCCUGACGCUGAGGUGCGAAAGCUAGGGGAGCAAACAGGAUUAGAUACCCUGGUAGUCCUAGCCGUAAACGAUGGACACUGAGUGAAGGAGGGCUUGCCCUUCUUUGCUGCAGCUAACGCGUUAAGUGUCCCGCCUGGGGAGUACGGCCGCAAGGUUAAA
rnacentral:rRNA from 1 species